GACGAACGCUGGCGGCGUGCCUAAUACAUGCAAGUUGAGCGAUGAAGAUUGGUGCUUGCACCAAUUUGAAGAGCAGCGAACGGGUGAGUAACGCGUGGGGAAUCUGCCUUUGAGCGGGGGACAACAUUUGGAAACGAAUGCUAAUACCGCAUAACAACUUUAAACAUAAGUUUUAAGUUUGAAAGAUGCAAUUGCAUCACUCAAAGAUGAUCCCGCGUUGUAUUAGCUAGUUGGUGAGGUAAAGGCUCACCAAGGCGAUGAUACAUAGCCGACCUGAGAGGGUGAUCGGCCACAAUGGGACUGGGACACGGCCCAAACUCCUACGGGGGGGAGCAGUAGGGAAUCUUCGGCAAUGGACGAAAGUCUGACCGAGCAACGCCGGGUGGGUGGAGAAGGUUUUCGGGUCGUAAAACUCUGUUGGUAGGGAAGAACGUUGGUGAGAGUGGAAAGCUCAUCAAGUGACGGUAACUACACAGAAAGGGACGGCUAACUACGUG
rnacentral:rRNA from 1 species